rnacentral:hammerhead_ribozyme from 1 species
AUCCAGCUGACGAGUCGCAAGUUGGACGAAACGCGCGUCAAACUGGAU